rnacentral:rRNA from 1 species
GACGGUAACCAACCCCAUGGGUGGGUAUAGCCGCGGGAAACYGCGGGUAAUCCCCAGCGAAGCAAAGCGACCGGCAUCGGUCGUUUGCCAAAGCUCCGGCGCCGUGGGACGGGCCGUCGUGGUAUUAGGUAGUUGGGGGGGUAACGGCCCACCAAGCCUACGAUGCCUACCGGGCGUGCGAGCGUGGCCCGGCACACUGGGACUGAGACACUGCCCAGACUCCUACGGGAGGCUGCAGUCGAGAAUCUUCGGCAAUGGGCGCAAGCCUGACCGAGCGACGCCGCGUGGAGGACGAAGGCCUUCGGGUUGUAAACUCCUGUCGAGGGGAAAGAAGGCCCGCAAGGGCUUGACUGAUCCCUGGAGGAAGCACGGGCUAAGUUCGUGCCAGCAGCCGCGGUAAGACGAACCGUGCGAACGUUAUUCGGAAUCACUGGGCUUAAAGCGCGUGUAGGCGGGAGGGCACGUCCGUCGCUGAAAUCCCCCGGCUCAACCGGGGAAGUGGCGCGGAUACGACCUUCCUG